rnacentral:misc_RNA from 1 species
GAUGAAGAACGCAGCGAAAUGCGAUAAGUAAUGUGAAUUGCAGAAUUCAGUGAAUCAUCGAAUCUUUGAACGCACAUUGCGCCCCCUGGCAUUCCGGGGGGCAUGCCUGUCCGAGCGACAUUACAACCCUCAAGCUCUGCUUGGUAUUGGGCUCUGCUGGGACCGGCAGGCCUUAAAAUCAGUGGCGGCGCCACUCGGCUUCAAGCGUAGUAAUUCUUCUCGCUUCGGAGACCCGGGUGCGUGCUAGCCAGCAACCCCCAACUUUCUUAGGUUGACCUCGGAUCAGGUAGGGAUACCCGCUGAACUUAAGCAUAUCAAUAAGCGGAGGA